ensembl:snRNA U6 U6 spliceosomal RNA
GUACUUGCUUCACCAGCACAUAGACUAAAAUUGGAAUGAUACAGAGAAAAUUAGCAUGGUCCCACACAAGGAUGACAAGCAAAUUUGUGGGGCGUUCCAUAUUUUU